rnacentral:ncRNA from 1 species
CAAAGGCUUGGUCCUGACUUUACUGUCAACUUUAGCUAAAUUUACACAUGCAAGUAUCCGCACCCCUGUGAGGAUGCCCCACAGUUUUCUGCUUGAAAACAAGGAGCUGGUAUCAGGCACACCUAAUUAUUAAGCCCACGACGCCUUGCUUAGCCACACCCCCAAGGGAACUCAGCAGUGAUAAACCUUAAGCCAUAAGUGAAAGCUUGACUUAGUUAAGGCUAAUAAGGGCCGGUAAAACUCGUGCCAGCCACCGCGGUUAUACGAGAGGCCCAAGUUGACAGACACCGGCGUAAAGCGUGGUUAAGGAAAACUAAAACUAAAGCCGAACACCUUCAGGGCAGUUAUACGCAUCUGUAAGGCAUGAAGUCCAAUCACGAAAGUGGCUUUACACUACCUGACUCCACGAAAGCUAUGGCACAAACUGGGAUUAGAUACCCCACUAUGCUUAGCCCUAAACAUUGAUGAAAUAUUACACCCCCUAUCCGCCCGGGCACUACGAGCAUUAGCUUGAAACCCAAAGGACUUGGCGGUACUUUAGAUCCCCCUAGAGGAGCCUGUUCUAUAACCGAUAAUCCCCGUUAAACCUCACCCUCCCUUGUCACCCCCGCCUAUAUACCGCCGUCGUCAGCUUACCCUUGUGAAGGACUAACAGUAAGCAAAAUUGGCAUCCCCCAGAACGUCAGGUCGAGGUGUAGCGCAUGAGAGGGGAAGAAAUGGGCUACAUUCGCUAAUGUUAGCGAAUACGGACGACGUACUGAAAACCGUACGUCCAAAGGAGGAUUUAGCAGUAAGUGGAAAAUAGAGUGUUCCACUGAAGCCGGCUCUGAAGUGCGCACACACCGCCCGUCACUCUCCCCAAGCGACCCAGCAAAUUUAGAUAAAACACUACAACCGCAAAGGGGAGGCAAGUCGUAACAUGGUAAGUGUACCGGAAGGUGCACUUGGAAAAAU